UACGGGGGGGGCAAGCGUUGUUCGGAAUUACUGGGCGUAAAGGGUUCGUAGGUGGCUUGCUAAGUCAGACGUGAAAUCCCUCAGCUUAACUGGGGAACUGCGUCUGAGACUGGUGAGCUUGAGUGCAGGAGAGGAGCGCGGAAUUCCAGGUGUAGCGGUGAAAUGCGUAGAUAUCUGGAGGAACACCGGUGGCGAAGGCGGCGUUCUGGACUGCUACUGACACUGAGGAACGAAAGCCAGGGGAGCAAACGGG
rnacentral:rRNA from 1 species